AUGAAUCCAAAAUCCCCAAGCCGGGGAGGUGAAACUUUUCAUAGAGCUUAUGUCAACAAAGGGUCCAUCAACUUCAUGGUGACCGACGAUCUGCCCAUCGUCGAUUUCUCCUUGGCCAAGAGCCUCCAGGCCAUACGCGCAGUGAAGAUCCCGAAGAGGGAGCUUGUGGAGAAAGAGCUAGUUCUAGACAAAACCAAGGUGCGAAUUAUCAAGUCAAGAGAAUUAGCUGGUUCUUCCUUAUUGUUCAGUUUUGUACUACAAUGUUCUGAACGACUGACUGUUUGCUGGCAUCAUCAAGUCCUGACAACCUCGACUGAAGCCACCACAGCGUGUGGCCUCCGGCUGAGGAGGAGCGCGACCCCGAAAGCCCCGCGUGCCCUUUUCUUAAUUUGUUUUUUCCUUUCUGUUUUUCUUUUUUCUCUCUAA
rnacentral:rRNA from 1 species